UACGGAGGGUGCGAGCGUUGUCCGGAAUCACUGGGCGUAAAGGGCGCGUAGGCGGCUUGGGAAGUCCGUGGUGAAAGCCCGAGCUCAACUUCGGGUCGGCCAUGGAUACUCCUAAGCUCGAGUCGACUAGAGGCUAAUGGAAUUCCGGGUGUAGCGGUGGAAUGCGUAGAGAUCCGGAAGAACACCGGUGGCGAAGGCGGUUAGCUGGGUCGGACUGACGCUGAGGCGCGACAGCGUGGGAGCAACAGG
rnacentral:rRNA from 1 species